GUUAGAGACCCUGUCUCAGUUUUUGUUUUCUAGGGACACUGUUGGCUCCCGUCUAUGCACAGAUAUACUCCUCCGCAGGAAUAAAGCAGCCUCCACAGAGGAGUCAUUAGAAAAGAAAAUACUUCCGUACUGAGGCUAUCAAAGGCUGAAUAGCAGCACCCCGACCUGGAGGAUCAUUCCCUCUCAUGUGUUUUCUGAUGGUUUGGCAACGCUGCUUCCCAAACAUCUGCAGUAAACAUCCCCCACCACAGAUGAGAAAAAAAAUGAGGCACCGAGUAGUGAGAGAUUAGAUCCUGAGUUCGUCGGUUUCCAUCUUGGAGCUGAAGAGGACGGACGAACAUCGCUUCUCCUUCUGAAAUGGGCUGAUUCUAUGAAAUCAC
rnacentral:lncRNA from 1 species